rnacentral:rRNA from 1 species
ACGCGUGGAACCUUACCAGGUCUUGACAUCCUCUGACACUCCUAGAGAUAGGACGUUCCCCUUCGGGGGACAGAGUGACAGGUGGUGCAUGGUUGUCGUCAGCUCGUGUCGUGAGAUGUUGGGUUAAGUCCCGCAACGAGCGCAACCCUUGAUCUUAGUUGCCAGCAUUAAGUUGGGCACUCUAAGGUGACUGCCGGUGACAAACCGGAGGAAGGUGGGGAUGACGUCAAAUCAUCAUGCCCCUUAUGACCUGGGCUACACACGUGCUACAAUGGAUGGUACAAAGGGCUGCAAGACUGCGAAGUCAAGCCAAUCCCAUAAAACCAUUCUCAGUUCGGAUUGCAGGCUGCAACUCGCCUGCAUGAAGCCGGAAUCGCUAGUAAUCGCGGAUCAGCAUGCCGCGGUGAAUACGUUCCCGGGCCUUGCACACACCGCCCGU